rnacentral:rRNA from 1 species
UGGUGGAGUGAUUUGUCUGCUUAAUUGCGUUAACGAACGAGACCUCAACCUACUUACUAGACAUGCGAUUUCCCAUCGUGUGUUCUUCUUAGAGGGACUGUGCGGAGACAAACGCAAGGAAGUUUGAGGCAAUAACA